AUUGAACGCUGGCGGCAUGCUUUACACAUGCAAGUCGAACGGCAGCGACAGGGAGCUUGCUCCCGGGUGGCGAGUGGCGCACGGGUGAGUAAUACAUCGGAACGUGUCCUGUUGUGGGGGAUAACUGCUCGAAAGGGUGGCUAAUACCGCAUGAGACCUGAGGGUGAAAGCGGGGGAUCGCAAGACCUCGCGCAAUUGGAGCGGCCGAUGCCCGAUUAGCUAGUUGGUGAGGUAAAAGGUUCACCAAGGCGACGAUCGGUAGCUGGUCUGAGAGGACGACCAGCCACACUGGGACUGAGACACGGCCCAGACUCCUACGGGAGGCAGCAGUGGGGAAUUUUGGACAAUGGGGGGCAACCCUGAUCCAGCCAUGCCGCGUGCAGGAUGAAGGCCUUCGGGUUGUAAACUGCUUUUGUCAGGGACGAAAAGGCAGAGUGCGAGAACAAACUGCAUUGACGGUACCGGAAAA
rnacentral:rRNA from 1 species